rnacentral:rRNA from 1 species
GAUAAACGCUGGCGGCGUGCCUAACACAUGCAAGUCGAACGCCCUCGGGCAACCGAGGGAGUGGCGGACGGGUGAGGAACACGUGAGUACCUACCCUUCAGUGAGGAAUACCGGCGAGAAAUCGCCGACAAUACCGCAUAUGCUUCGCAAGAAGCAAAGCUCGCAAGAGCGCUGGAGGAUGGGCUUGCGCCCGAUUAGCUAGUUGGUGGGGUAAAGGCUUACCAAGGCUGCGAUCGGUAGCUGGUCUGAGAGGAUGAUCAGCCACACUGGGAUUGAGAACGGCCCAGACUCCUACGGGGGGCAGCAGUGAGGAAUUUUCGUCAAUGGGGGCAACCCCGAACGAGCAACGCCGCGUGCAGGAAGAAGGUCUUCGGAUCGUAAACUGCUUUUCUCUGGGACGAGCAAGGACGGUACCAGAGGAAUCAGCCUCGGCUAACUACGUGCCAGCCGCCGCGGUAAGAC